GGGACGUAGCUAGAGAGGUAGUUUCAGUCCUAACUUCAGAUGGAGGUGGAACGGGGUGGGACGUAGCGAGAGAGGUAGUUUCAGUCCUAACUUCAGAUGGUGGUGGAAUUGGGUGGGACGUAGCUAGAGAGGUAGUUUCAGUCCUAACUUCAGAUGGAGGUGGAACGGGGUGGGACGUAGCUAGAGAGGUAGUUUCAGUCCUAACUUCAGAUGGAGGUGGAACUGGGUGGGACGUAGCUAGAGAGGUAGUUUCAGUCCUAACUUCAGAUGGAGGUGGAACGGGGUGGGACGUAGCGAGAGAGGUAGUUUCAGUCCUAACUUCAGAUGGUGGUGGAAUUGGGUGGGACGUAGCUAGAGAGGUAGUUUCAGUCCUAACUUCAGAUGGAGGUGGAACGGGGUGGGACGUAGCUAGAGAGGUAGUUUCAGUCCUAACUUCAGGUGGAGGUGGAAUGGGGUGGGACGUAGCUAGAGAGGUAGUUUUGGCCAGGUCAUUCGGCACCUUCUUUGUUGGUAGAAAUUAAAACCAUAUCAGGCCCGCAAGCCUAAAACUCAGGAGUUUUUACAUUCACUGGGUUUUCAUCAACACUGCUAUAUAAUAGCAAACACUGAGCAGAACAGUUUAGGGGAGGAAAACUAAAAUCAAUAAAAACAAAAGCUUAUCCAGUCUAAAACCUGCGGCACAUUUUUCUAAAUGUGUCAGUGUGAUCGAUGCCAUUAUUUUCAGGUUGUUUACAUUUUGCUUACAUAAACACAAUUCAAGAAAAUAAGUUCAGGUAACUGGGUUGGAGUUCAGGCGAGUCAGCCAGUCAGCCAGCCAGCCAGUCAGUCAGUCAGGGAACUAGAGUAGCAUGGAACCCUGGAGUGUCAUACUAUAACCACAGAUUUAUGAAGGGCAACAGAGAAUGCUGAACAGGAGAUUUGUUUUUAAUGACUGACCACGUAGCAAGGCCAUGGCAAUAUAAAUAGUUUAGCCAUUGAAUAGGAGUUGCACUUGAAGCUUGUUUUUUUUUGGUGAUGCAACAAAAACCAUUCAAAUGUCAUUACUGAGGAUAGAGACCAGAGAAAGAUAUUAAACGUGUAUGUCUAUAAUGUGUCGUUUCCAAGAUGCUCGUUACAUAAAGACAUUGAGAGGACAAAUUCUUUAUUAACAAGUGCUUGUUACAGUAGCAGCUAGCUGACCAAUGACAAAUAAAAA